GUCCACACCGUAAACGUUGGGCGCUAGGUGUGGGGCCUAUUCCAUGGGUUCCGUGCCGCAGCUAACGCAUUAAGCGCCCCGCCUGGGGAGUACGGCCGCAAGGCUAAAACUCAAAGGAAUUGACGGGGGCCCGCACAAGCGGCGGAGCAUGCGGAUUAAUUCGAUGCAACGCGAAGAACCUUACCUGGGUUUGACAUAUGCCGGAAAGCUCUAGAGAUAGAGCCCCUUUUAGUCGGUAUACAGGUGGUGCAUGGCUGUCGU
rnacentral:rRNA from 1 species